rnacentral:rRNA from 1 species
UACUGCUCAGUAACACGUGGACAACCUACCCUUGGGACGGGGAUAAACCCGGGAAACUGGGUAUAAUACCCGAUAGGUCUCGAAUGCUGGAAUGCUUUGAGAUUUAAAACUCCGGUGCCCAAGGAUGGGUCUGCGGCCUAUCAGGUAGUAGUGGGUGUAGCGUACCUACUAGCCUACGACGGGUACGGGUUGUGAGAGCAAGAGCCCGGAGAUGGAUUCUGAGACACGAAUCCAGGCCCUACGGGGUGCAGCAGGCGCGAAAACUUUACAAUGCCGGCAACGGCGAUAAGGGAACCUCGAGUGCCAGGUUACAAAUCUGGCUGUCGUGAUGCCUAAAAAGCAUUGCAUAGCAAGGGCCGGGCAAGACCGGUGCCAGCCGCCGCGGUAACACCGGCGGCUCGAGUGGUAACCGUUAUUAUUGGGUCUAAAGGGUCUGUAGCCGGCCGGGUAAGUCUCUUGGGAAAUCUGGCAGCUUAACUGUCAGGCUUUCAGGAGAUACUGCCUGGCUCGAGGCCGGGAGAGGUGAGAGGUACUUCAGGGGUAGGGGUGAAAUCUUGUAAUCCUUGAAGGACCACCAGUGGCGAAGGCGUCUCACCAGAACGGACCUGACGGCAAGGGACGAAAGCUAGGGGCACGAACCGGAUUAGAUACCCGGGUAGUCCUAGCCGUAAACGAUACUCGCUAGGUGUCGGCCACGGUGCGACCGUGGUCGGUGCCGUAGGGAAGCCGUGAAGCGAGCCAGCUGGGAAGUACGGCCGCAAGGCUGAAACUUAAAGGAAUUGGCGGGGGAGCAC